UGUUUCCUGAACUUCUCUAGGAUACAAUCUGAACUUCUUUCCGUUGAACUUUUCUUGAAAGUUCCCUCUAGGAAAUUUUCUGAUCUUUUCUAAGAAGAAGCUUAAACUUAUCUCGUAAGUUCCUUGAACUUCUCAAGGAAUUUUCCUGAACUUGUGAAGUUGCGUGAACGUCUCUACGAAGUUCCUUGAAUUUCUCUGAGAAACUCCCUGAGCUUCUAUGGGAAUUUUCCUGAACUUUCCGGUAGCUCCCUGAAAUUCUCAAGGAAUUUUCUUAAACAUCUCUAGGAAGCUCCCUGAAUUUCUUUAGGAUGUUCCCUAAACUUCCCUAGGAAUCUCCCUUUCACCAAACUUCUCUGGGAAGAUACAUAAACUUCUCGUAACUUCCCUGUAAAUUAUCUGAACUCUUCGUAUGUUCAACGAACUUCUUUAGGUAAUUGCAUUAACUUUCCUUGAAAGCUGAACAUCUCUCGGAAGUUCCAUGAACUUCGUUGAGAAAUGUCCUGAGCUUCUUCCAGAAAUUCCUUAUGCUUCACUCAGAAAUUCCCUAAAUUUAUCUCAGAAAUUCUCCUAAUUUCACUAGAUUGUUCAGAAAAAGUUUUAAGAACUUCUGAAACAAUUACUAGGACUUUUUCAAACUUCAGAGUGCUUUGGGUACAAUCCAGAAAACUUCUGAUCAAAGUUCAGAGGUCUUCUGAAUCUGUGUAGAGCAGUUCGUAAAGUUCUCAGAACCUCUGAAAAUGUUCGAAGAGAUUUUUAACAGUUUCAGAAAUCGUUUGGAAAAGGUCAAAGAAAUUCUGAAUCUGUUCAGAGAACUUCGAAACAUACAGAUAAGUUUUUGAUUUAAUGAACUUUUAGGACAAUUUUGAGAUCUUUGAGAAGUUCAUAGAACCACUUAAAACAUGCAAAGAGCUUUUGAAAAAAAACAGAGAUCUUCGGGAAAAGCUCAAAGAGCUUUUGAAAAAAAAUCAGAGAUCUUCUGGAAAAGUUCAAAGAAUUUGUGAAAAAGUUAAAAAAACUUAUGAAAAAGUUUCAUGAACUUCUGGUUCAUGAUUACUUUUGCAUUUUUUUAAAGCACCUACUGUUUUUAUGACGCAUCACAAGUAUCAAUUUCGGUUUCAUAAGGGUUCUGUAGACCAUGAUUUAGACUUGUAGCAUGCUUUAAAACCUCCAUAAAACUUGCAAUGUUACUUUAAAUAUUUACUGCAAAGGAAAUUUAAAUAUUUGGUUGAUAAUUUCAUGACAAAACUUCUUCAAUCGUUCCGAUCAAGUCAUCAAAGAUUUUCCCUAAAACGAUAAUCUAUGUAAGCUGCCCAAAAAUGUCCUUUACCUUUCCUUCGAGGAUCCCUCAAUUUCCCAGAAUGUUCAGACAAAAUAUGUUAUGAUUUAUUUCUGGAAACCAAUAGGUUGUAGUAUUAAGUUAAGGGCAGUUGCAAAGCAGAUGUAAUAGCCAAAGAAAAUUAAGAAGGUUUCAAUAUAGGCCGAACUGAGUUGUUUUUUCCGUGAAAUCGACGAUAGAAGUGGCAAGUCAGUUAUCGAUAAUCGAGUCUAACCUGUAUGAAAAUAAGAAGUUCGAAACCGGAGAAGCUCAGUUGGUUUUAAGUAAUAUCUCAAAAGGCCGUUUGGCAUAAGCAAAACAAAAAAAAAAAACAAUAUUUUGGGCUAGAACGUUCUAUUCUUGGUUUAGCCUGCUUUUAAGAUUGAAUCUUGAAUGGGUGAAUAUUCUGGUUCUGUUGACCCUUUUAUGGGACGACUGUUAUGCCAAAUUGCUUUGUGGUUCAAUGUUUCUUCUGUGUUUUUUUUUAAAGACCGUGCAUUUCGUAGUUGCUCCUCCGAGAUUGAUCAGAACUAAAUUAAAAUGCACUUGCACAGAGAACCACGUAGAUGUUGCAUGGGAUUAGCUUUCUAUCUUCAAUUGUACCAGGUACACUAAUUCAAUUUAUUUAUAGAUCAAUCACAGCACCGGACACGUCCUCGCGGUCUUUGGGGAGGGAAGGAUGAUUAGUUCGACGUCCGUUGUUACUUGAGACCGAACACACCUCUGCAUCUCCACGGUUUUCACAGGGAGGAUGUAGUUGUGUUAGUGAGGUGGGUUAUUUUUAGACCAGGAUUCACUGUGGUAAGUGAUGCGGUCGGUUUUGUUAAAGCAGAAUUCGUUUUCAUUUAAAAUCUAGUGGGGAUAGAAUAAGGCAAAAGGACAAAUUGCAAGGAAGAGGACGGGCCAGAAAUUGACCUUCUGCACAGUAAGCAGAAACGGUAAAAACUGAGCUACCAAGCCUCGCCAUUUAAUCUCACUCAAAUUUGAAUUCCAUUUACUCAAAUUCGCAAAAACCACAGUCAAAUUUUCCUCGAAAAUCUGGUUGAAUACGGAAUCAGGGAAAUCAAUUUGAGACUUACUAAACUCAUAUUUGAGUGAGAUUCAACAACCGGGUACGAUCUUGAGCCAAAUGGGGUGGCCCCGUUUAAAAGGCUUUUGUCGUCCAGAGAAAUGUUCAUUGGAAAAUUGCAUAGUUAGAUAAAAGUUUAAGGCUCGGGGUUCACAAAUUUACUAUACGAAGAAGUAACUCUCAAAACUCUCGACUCCUUGGAUAUACACUUGAUGGGGUAGGACAAAAUGUUCCCGGGUAAAUUAUCCAAGGGGUCAAACUAUAAUUUAUUUUCAUUCAAAUUUCAAAUUUCAAACUCAUUCAGUCGACAAAAGUCAUUUUGUGUGUGGUGACCCCCCAUGCAAAUCAAAUGGGGAGUCACCUCACACGACGUGACUUUUAUCAACUCACUAGUGACAGAGAAUCACACGACUCGCUUAAUAGGCCUGAUUAUCUCAUUUUCUUCUAAGAUCACCUUUGUUACACUAAAAGAAACGACAAAUGUAUUGUUUCAGUGUAGACGGUAAUUGUUAGGAGUUGUGGAGAGUUUGACCUUCAAGAGCGGAAACAGAGAGGAGACUAGGAAGAGAAAAAUGAUUAAAGUAGUAGUACUAGCGCGGUGAAGAUGUGUUUUCAUUUCAAUAAAAAUAAAGAAUAAGUUACAGUCCAUUUGCCUUUCUCCAGUGAGUAUCAGAAGAACAUUUUGGUCCUUCGAGUCGGAUUCUGAGCAACAGAUCACUGAACUGCAUCAGCAUUGUCUGGAGUUGUUUUUGAGCCUCAUUAAUUCCUUUUGCUGCGUAAUUUACAAGAAGUGAAAUCUUCUUAACAGCACUCUCAACCCUUUCGGUGUUGGAAAGAUUCAUUCCUUUCUCUAGCGAAAUAAUGGCGGUAUAUAGAAUACCCACAUGCUUUAGCACUGGCUCCACUUCGCUUUAUACCAAAGUUUCUUUGGGAUCUCUGUGUCGCAAGCCUAAUUCACACAGUCGAGAGAUGUAGGCCAAAGCUGACAUUUUCUCAGUUUUCGGGGAGCUUUUUCCUUCGAGUAGUUGGUAGUACUCCUCGGCUUCUCGAUCCAGAGCUUUGUUUGACUGAGAUUUGGGUGAUGGACUCGAGUCGUCUUCCAAGUAGAAAGAUACGCUUUCUGAUGGCGGAACUGAGAGAUAUUGGUCAUCUGACUCAACAAUUUUCGGGAUCUGUACAGGCACCAAAGCGUUCGACAAGCAUUCCUGGAGAUCAGACUUAGAUGCCUUGUUCUUUUCCAUGAUCUUCCCACAUCAAGUGCUUUCUUCUUUCCACUCAUCUUACUGAUUUUCCUGCGUCGGGCAAUUGUUACAAAAGCAAAGUAGCAGAGUAACAACCUUCAAUAAUUGAAAAGAACGUUCAGGAGAGAUUUCUAGACCAUCAGAUAGUACUAAAAAAAAAACUUGGUUUUAGCAUUAAAAAUCUUGAACUCUCAGUUUAAGUUUACGAAACUCUAUGAGACUCUUGUAAAAGCUGUCGAAUUAAACCCUUUUUGAAUUCUUUAAAAGCCUGACCAAUAUUUACUACCCUGGACCAAUCUUUCGUAGGCGAACUAGACAACUAGGUAUGCAGUACUGCACAUUAAUUUCCAUGUUGAUGGCUUCCAUGAAAAAAAAAUCACAAUUAUUAUCAACUCAUUAUCAAUACAUUACGCGAUACAGAAACGGUACCGUUCAAAGAAGGGGCUCGCAGAUCCAGUAGGUUGAUAGUAAAUGCCUUCAUCUAGCGGUUCCCGGCUUUCGGAUUCUCAGUCAAAACAACCGGCGUUCUGUUUUUCUUCAAAACUUUUAUUCGCCUGCAAUCGUAGUUCCUUACAUGCGAAUGAUAUGUCCGUUGUACAUUGCGUCUAUUCGGGUGUUGUGCUAAGAACUGUCAUUUUACCCUUACCACGAAAGAAGCAACCAUUUACUAAAAAAUCUGUGUAUAAAAAUCGCUAGAUUCGCGCGUUCGCUUUUUUUUUCUCUUCAAUCUGCGAUCCUGAGUCUACAUCUCCCUAAUUAGUUUCGAAUUGUAGUACCUAUCCUAAUAUACACUUAUACAAUUGAUAGGUUUUAAGUAUUGUUUAAGUAUUAAGAGACAAAUGCAGCAAAAACACAUUUCAAUUUUAAAUUGAACGGAUGUAUUCAAUUUUAAACUGACAGACAUUAAAAAAAAUAUGAAAAAUUCUAAAACUAUCAUUGAAAAGAACUACUA